rnacentral:sRNA from 1 species
GAGAGGGAUUGCCACGAGAGGCCCUAUA